GCCUCUGUCGGACGCUGCGCCUCCGCCUCCCAUCCUUCAUCAAUCCCCCUGUGUCUCUGAUCCUCUUUCCAGGGAAUCACGAUCAUCCUCACCUCCCACUUUCUCUGGGGUGAGCAGCCGGAUAGACUGUACUCACUACUCCGUCACUACCCGCGCUCCCGGAAAAGACCGGGCAAGCCGGAAGAUCAUAUUCCAACCAAUAGGAGAGAAGAAUCCGACAGGAACCAAUCGCAGAGGGAGAGUGUAAUGAAGCACCAAGCCAAGACUCCAGACCAUGUUGGGCUUCAAAACUCAAGGCCUCACCUCCCUGCGAUGGCCUCCAGUGUGGGACUCGCCUCCCCGCAAUGGCUUCUGCUCUGGGAUUCACCUUCCCCGCGCUGGCUCCAGUCUGGAUUCUGCCUCCCUGGAAUGGCCUCAGAUUAAACAAUGCAAUAGAAGCGAGGGUGCAAAAGAGAUUCUCUACAAUGUCACCUGGGCUGGAAUGAUUCAACUGUGAAGAGAGACUGCAUAAACCGGAAAAAAAAACAAAGGACUGCGGAUCAUGGAAAUCUGAAGCAAAAAUGACCUUCCCUCCAUUUGAAGGUCAGAAGCGAACAGGAAAGGUUGAGAAGAUAUGGGUCAUGUGCAGGCAAAUGGGACUAAUUUGGUUUGGGAAACUUGGUCAGCAUGGAUAAGUUGGACUGAAUGGUCUGUUUCCAUGCUCUACGACUGUACGAAAGCCAUCCAGGGUCUCUAAGGAUUUGGAGUAGAUUUGUAGCUCGGGUUGUGGGUGUUGAGGGUGGUUGGCUUGCCAAGCUGAUUUGUUGUUCUGCAGACGUUUCAUUACCUUGCUGGUUAACAUUCUCAGUGCAGCCUCCGAUGAAGCGUCGGUGUGUUUUCCCACCUGGUUUUUAAACUCUGGAGUCCAUUGAGCUGGAUUGCCUCACUUCUGGUUUUUUUUCAUAGUGGACUGUAUAUGGGGUCGAGUUCUAUGUGUUUAUUGAUGGUUUUCUUCGUGGAGUACCAGGCUUUUAGGAAUUCCCGUGCUUGUCUCUGCUUAGCUUGUCUCAGGAUUUUGGUGUUGUCCCUGUCGAAUUGGUGGUUCUCCUUAUCCAUGAGGAUUGAGAUGAGUGAGUACUGGUUAUGUCUUUUUGUAGAGGCUGCACUGUGGAUGUUACCCAGCAAAGUAAUGAAAUAUCUGCGAAACAACAAACCAGCUGGGUGAGCCAACCAACCUCAACCAUCCAGGCUCAUCGUUGUAUCACAAGAUUUUAUCUCAAGAACCUAAUAUUCCUUCUUGUAUACUUUGUACUACAUUGUAGGUGCAGGUUAGUAUGCCACUCCCACUAGUGACUUCUUUCUCCUACUAUUCUUCAUUUUUACUUAAACAGAUUCUACAUCCGGAUCACUUGAACCAAGGCCCCCAACUGCUAGUGCCCUUUUGACUUUACCUAGCUUCCUAUUCUUGAAUACGAUAUACCCUUCAAUAUUUAGGCCCAAUUCUUCUCUUCCUGCAGUCAUGUCUCAAUGACGGCUUUUAAUCUGUUCACUUUGUUAUGAAUGUUAUCCACAUUCAGAUACAGAACCUUUAGCUUUGUCUCUGCUAUCUUUGAAUAUUGGGUCUUAAUGUUUGUCAUACUUCUAGGUUUCUUCUUUGUCCUUUUCUCCCACUCUGUGAUCUUCAUUCCCCAUUUACUUUCCUCUCUUGUCUCGACUCAUUGAUACAUUUCACCUUUCCACAGUUUCCUUAUUUAGUUGAAACCCUUCCAACUUCCCACGUUAUGCCUUUUGCAUGAUCAUCACCUAGCCCAGUUCAGGUUUGGAUCAUGCAAAUAAUAAAGUAACCACUUUCCUAAGCACCAGUGCCAUUAGCCCAAAAAAAUCCCCACUUUUGCCACACCUGUAUUUGAGCUUUGUAUUCAUUUCUUUAACUGUGAAUAGCAAGUGUCAAUUUCCAAAAAUCUGAGAUUAUCAACUAGAGAUUUUGACCUUUGAGGUCCUAGUUUCUAAUUUAGCACCUAGCUCCUCAUAGUCAUAGAGUUGUACAGCACAGAAACAGAUCCUUUGGUCUAUGUGUCCACGCUGACCGGGUAUCUUAAACUGAUCUAGUCCCAUUUGCCAGCAUUUGGCCCAUAUCCCUCUAAACCUUUGCUAUUCAUACAGCCAUCAUACUAUUGAUGCAGAACUUCUUUUCCAGUUCUGCUUUUUUUGUUGGUAUUUAAUGUUUGUCUUGAUGCAUGUCCCCAUAAACAAUGUACAGGACAGUCUUGCAUCACGGAACUGUUCAGAAUAAACAUCGACAAA